GUGCUCACUUCAGCAGCACAUAUACUAAAAAGUUGGAAUGAUACCAAGAAGAUUAGCAUGGUCCCUAUGCAAGGAUGAUAGCAAAUUCAUGAAAUGUUCCAUAUUUUU